rnacentral:lncRNA from 1 species
CGUGCUUCUCCUUGGGCACAUCUCUCAUAGCCUGGCUCAGGCAGUGCUCUAAGCUCUUCCCAGCAGCCGGAGGUUUGGAGCUGUAGCUGGAGAUGCCAGGACCCUCCACGUCGCACAUGCUGUGCUCGCUGACCACCCCAGUGUCGUUCUCCUUGUCCGCGGGCCACUUGUAGAUGAACACGGCCGUGUGGGAGGAUCCGGCGUCCAGCACGAUGCCGUACUUGAAACUCGGCGGGCCGCGCGCGUCUCCGGAGCCGAGGCAGAGCAGGAGGAUGCCCAGGAGGCAGCCGAGGGCAAGCAGCAGCAGCACGGCGGCGGCCCGGCGGGCCAUGGCGGGGCCGGGCGGGCGCUGCCGCUGCUCGGUGGGGGCAGGUGAGCGGCUCUGCGGCGGCCGCUGCUCCUCCUCCUCGCCCGCCUCUCCCGGCUGACUCACCGCAGCCCCGGCCCACCCGGGCGGGACGCCGGGCCCUGCUGUGCUGCUCGGCCCCACGCCGAC